GACGAACGCUGGCGGCGUGCUUAACACAUGCAAGUCGAACGAUGAAGCCGGAGCUUGCUCUGGUGAAUUAGUGGCGAACGGGUGAGUAACACGUGAGUAACCUGCCCUUGACUCUGGGAUAACUGCGGGAAACUGUAGCUAAUAUCGGAUACGACCCUCGGCGGCAUCUCCUGGGGGUGGAAAGAAUUUCGGGCAAGGAUGGACUCGCGGCCUAUCAGCUAGUUGGUGAGGUAAAGGCUGACCAAGGCGACGACGGGUAGCCGGCCGGAGGGGGUGACCAGCCACCCUGCGACUGAGGCACGGCCCAGACUCCUACGAGAGGCAGCAGUAGGGAAGAUUGCAGAACGGGCGCAAGUCUGAUGCAGCAACGACGCGUGAGGGAUGACGGCGUUCGGGUUGUAAACCUCUUUUAGUAGGGAAGAAGCGAAAGUGGCGGUACCUGCAGAAAAAGCACCGGCUAACUACUUGCCAGCCGCCGCCGUAA
rnacentral:rRNA from 1 species